AAAACCUCCCACGAUUCCACCAUCCUCCUCCGGUAGCGCCGCCGCCGUCCACCGGCCUCGUCCUGCCCACCUUACGUCGGCCUCCUCCUACGAAAUCGCCGCCGCCCGUCUCCAACGGAACCGCCGCCGGCCUCAUCCCGUGGCCCUGCAGCCGCCCUUUUGCUGCGGCCACGCGCCUUCCUCCUGCCGCGGCCUUGCCCCCGGUCUUCUCCAGCGGCCGCGCACCGUCCUCCUGCCGUUGCCCCGCCCCGAUAUCCUCCCGCGGACGCGCCUCCGCCGACCCCCAACAGGAUCCCGUACCUCCACCACCCCCAAGAUCCUACGCCGCUGGGCGGGAUCCGACGCCCCGCAUCCAUGUCCCGGCGAUCCCAAGCACGCCGCCUGCCGCGUGCACUCGACAUGACACCUCCUGCCUCCCCACGUCGCCGCCUACACCGCAAUCACACAUCACUCCGGCCGGGAUCCGUGGCGCAGUCCAACCUCGUCCGUGCGUGCAGUCCCUCCUUGUCUGCUCGCUUGACAGCAGAGCAAAUACUGCUUCCAAAAAUAUGCAGAAGGAGCUCCGGAUUUUGAUGUCUGAAGUUCAGCUGUACCAUGGAGACUACUGCGGCCGUUCGAAACACUAGCAGGCGACGUGCUAACCAGCUGCAGGUCACGGUCUCCUCGAGUUGCAGGUCCCGCCCUUUACCCAUCAGCGUCGUCGCAUGCGCCCUACUUAAUAUUCUACGGCUGAAUAUUAUCGUAACAGUCUUCUUCAACCCAUUGUUUUUCUUCAAAAAGGUUCAGAGUUCUAUUGGGUUAGAAGCCACAGGAGAGCAAUUACAUUUGUGUUUGCUUUUCAGUAAAUAUUCUAGGGCUGAAUGUUAUCCUAACAGUCGUUCAAACCAUGGUUUUUCUUCAGAAGGUUCAGAGUUCUAUUGGGUUAGAAACACGUACAGUUUGCCAGCUUGUUUCAGGUCGUCUAAAUCUGGAGUUCUGGACUAUUUGAUCUACCGGGUUGCCUGCGCCGGCCUUCGAAGCCUACCGAGGUGGUGCCCCACUACUGCCAGCGUCUCCCUGCACCCCUCCUCGACACCACAAGGACGACAGAGAUAUCAAGUUGUUGCUCUUGCUCUUCAACUACAUCUUUAGGUUCACAAAAGUUCAGCUUGGCGCGGGAUGAAAGUUCAGCUGGUGGGGGGCCCUGGCAACAGCAACGUUUCGCUGUGCGGUGUAGGCUACGGUGGCAGCACCAUUUUAAUUUAUGUGUUUCUACUACUGCCAACAGAGGAGAAGAAUGGCCAGCACCGAGCUACUACUGCUACUGCUUGUUUUUGCUUGCACAGCCAAUUUGGGCGUUACCAGGAACAUGACAAAGCGAGAAAAUUAUGGAGUGAUAGAGAUAAAAGAGUAGUGUGCCUACGUGGUGUGGAUAUGAAACGUGUGGUGUGUGAGAGGAUAAGGAAUGUGUGUUACUAUUCAGUGAUAAAAUAACUUGUGG
rnacentral:rRNA from 1 species